rnacentral:rRNA from 1 species
UGCGUAGGUGGCGAGCGUUGUCCGGAUUUACUGGGCGUAAAGGGCGUGCAGGCGGUUUGUUAAGUCUAGGGUGAAAGCUCCCGGCUCAACUGGGAGAGGUCCUUGGAUACUGGCAGACUUGAGGAGAGUAGAGGAGAGUGGAAUUCCCGGUGUAGUGGUGAUAUGCGUAGAUAUCGGGAGGAACACCAGUGGCGAAGGCGGCUCUCUGGGCUCUACCUGACGCUGAGACGCGAAAGCGUGGGGAGCGAACCGG